GGGAACACUCUUUGUUUCAUUAUGAAAGCAGACAGACACAACUACUUUAAAACUACAGAGAGAGUAUAUUAAAGAACAAAAGAACACACAUCUAUAUUCUACAUCUUCUAUUCAGAGAAUGAAAUUGACAUCAUCCAAGAGACCAAAGCCAGAAGAUGAGGAAUCAUCCCUAUCUCCCUAACUCCUAAAUCUCUGUGGUCUUAUAAGUCAUGCCUCAAUUAUAAUGCCCAAUUUUCCAAUUUCUUCACAGCUACAGGAUGCUCUUUCAAUGCAGAAACAUUAUGGUAAUGAAUGAUGGACACAUUCCAUAGAAUCCAGAGAGCCUA
rnacentral:lncRNA from 12 species